rnacentral:rRNA from 1 species
AUGGCGUGCGCGCUGCUGCCUGCAGGUGUGGCCGCGGUCCUACCGUCUCCUCGCCGGAGCGCCGCCGCCUCGAAGGGACAGCGGAGUCAAGUUGCGUGCACGAACCAGCUUCACUGGAAGCAGCCUUUAAGUGGUGAGUGCUGCAUCCAUUACAACCUGAAAGAAUUUGAAUGGAAAAAGAGAAGUUAUAAUUCAGCAUCUGAUUUCAUUUGGCCUGAGAUUUUUAUACUACUGAUGGCAACUGCAGAGCUCCACAGACCCAGGAGCCUUGUUGGCUGCUGCACAUGUUCAGGUUCGUCGACAGGAGCAGCUAUGUCAAGAUCUGUAGAUGCUGUAAGUUUUCAUGCCGAUGUAUCUCUGAGAGACCCUGUGGAUGCAGUUCUAGGUGCGCAGAUAGUUAUCUCUGGCUACUGGAUUGGUCCCGAGGUGGAAGAUGGUUGUGGUCACGUUCAUGCCAUUCUGCAAAGAAUUGGCUGA